UGGGAAGAAGGCACUUGCAAUGCA
rnacentral:siRNA from 1 species